AAUUUUGGACAAAGGGGGAAACCCUGAUCCAGCCAUCCCGCGUGUAAGAUGAAGGCUUUCGGGUUGUAAAGUACUUUUGGCAGAGAAGAAAAGGUAUAUCCUUAUGCGAGAUACUGUGGACGGUAAGUGCAGAAUAAGCACCGGCUAACUUCGUGCCAGCAGCCGCGGUAAUAAGUAGGGUGCAAGCGUUAAUCGGAAUUACUGGGCGUAAAGAGUGUGUAGGCGGUUCGGAAAGAAAGAUGUGAAAUCCCAGGGCUCAACCUUGGAACUGCAUUUUUAACUGCCGAGCUAGAGUAUGUCAGGGGGGGGUAGAAUUCCACGUGUAGCAGUGAAAUGCGUAGAUAUGUGGAGGAAUACCGAUGGCGAAGGCAGCCCCCUGAGAUAAUACUGACGCUCAGACACGAAAGCGUGGGGAGCAAAC
rnacentral:rRNA from 1 species